UACAGAGGUCCCAAGCGUUGUUCGGAUUCAUUGGGCGUAAAGGGUGCGUAGGCGGCUCGGUAAGUCGGGUGUGAAAUCUCGGAGCUUAACUCCGAAACUGCAUUCGAUACUGCCGUGCUUGAGGACUGGAGAGGAGACUGGAAUUUACGGUGUAGCGGUGAAAUGCGUAGAUAUCUGGAGGAACACCGGUGGCGAAGGCGGCAUCCUGGACCGACACUGACGCUGAGGCGCGAAAGCUAGGGGAGCAAACGGG
rnacentral:rRNA from 1 species